GCUAAUAAUGAUUAAUACUUUUUAAAGGACCUAAAGUUCUCCCAAAUUUUAGUACAGGUAGUUUUAUUGUAUGUUUCAUCUAGCAGAUAUUUUUUUAAAAGUAUGUAGAAAUAAUUGUUUCCAACUAAGUAAAUAUACCAUGUUAUCAAUCUGCCAAAUCAAAAGCGCUCGCCAAGCUGAAUAAUAAGUUACAAAGAAAUAAUAAUUCUGGGUUACACGGAUUAUGCAGUGUUUUCAAAGCUCUUUAAGAAUUACCCACUAACACAAAUCUCUGACACUUAACAGCUGGAAGGUAAGUUUCACAGUAAUGUAAUUUUAACUUCCAUUUACAUUCAUUUUAAUAUAUUACUACGAUGUUUAUGUCACAAUGGUGCGUUCCAGUGUUUACAAUUUACAGUUUCAAUUUGUACAUAAGUAACUCACUUAAUAUGAGAGACAGCUCUUACUAUUGUAAACUGUCCCUAAGAAAAAUAAACCACCCUACAUAAAACUAUAAAAAUGGCCUGACUUAAACAGAUUAAUGAAACAUGGUUUUUCAUAUUUGAGCUGUUUUCUAAAUAUCAGCAUGUAACUUUGCCUAUUUAAUGUCUGACAGCUACAACUUUAUUCACUGAGAAAUUAUGCAUUUAUUUUCUUCAACCACUUUUUCGCUUUAUCUCAAAAAAAAAAAAAUCCUUGACUUGCUAUUUUUAGUCUGCAAAUGCUAAACUGUACUUUUGGGGGCAAGCCAAAGAAAGAUGAUAAACAUUGUAAACAACAAAAUUCCCCAAAUUAAUGUUUGAAUUUUUCCGUUAGACCAUUUAAAAAGUCAGUUACACGGUUUCAUCUUUCUUUCCUUUUCCUUUUCUUUCUUUAGACAGAAACUAGUGAGAGGUAGAGCCCUGGAUGGACUGGGACUGAGAUCCACCUGCCACACCUCUGGAGGCCAGGGUUGGAGAUUUAUGCCCGCACAGCCAGAAGCACUAUUUCAUUUUUUUAACACCAAUACAAAUAAAUUACUGGCAGGUCAGUACCAUCCUGGGACCUAAAAUUCUAAUUGAAUAAAAAUCUUUCAAUAUUCCAUUAUGUAGCUUAGAAUAGUUAUAUAAUUUGAUUAAACUGGUCAAAGUAGUAAGAAACAUACUGUCCAGUAAACAGUUAGUCAUAUUGCUUUUGGGGGGAAGACAGUCUAAGAACAGAGACUAACAAACAAUCAGAAAAAAAAUU
rnacentral:lncRNA from 1 species